rnacentral:rRNA from 1 species
GCCUACGGCCAUACCGGACCGAACGCCCCCAAUCCCAUCCGAUCUCGGAAGGUAAACCGUCCCGGGCCUGGCUAGGUGACCGCCUGGGAAUCCCAGGUGCCGUAGGCU